UUUUUUUCUCUUCUUCCAGUGGGGCACCAAAGAAACAAUUAACAAGCAGGCACCUAGUAAUGUGAUAGACUUGCAGUAAAUAGGAAAAGAUACAGGAUGGUCCUAUUGGUGCAUUAGACCUCAUUAUGGAAUCAAUUACAAUUCUCCAACAUGCGCGCACAAUCUAUGGAAGUUCUUCACACCUGGCUCUGAAGGCAAAAUGUACAAGCAGCCUCAGCUCAUGCUUUUAAGAAAUCACCAAAAAGCAGCACUCAAUUAAUGGUGUUUACACAUUCUUGUGCUUCUUCAUUCAGGUACGGUCUCUUUUAGUGCAAAUUGCAGCAGCCACAGUCACCACUUCAUUAUUCAUGGAUAAU
rnacentral:misc_RNA from 1 species